rnacentral:tRNA from 1 species
AGGAUUAUAGUUUAAACUCAUAAAACAAUUGAUUUGCAAUCAAUAAAUAUUAAAUUAAUUUAUCUUA